rnacentral:ribozyme from 1 species
GCAUAGUGUUACCAGCAGCAACACAUGCCAAUUUCAUUUUCUCAUUCAAUAGUCACUUACAUGGAUGCUUGAUUCUGGAAAUAAUAGGCGAACUUCAAGCAGUCCUUGUCCCGUCCUGCAUCCCAAUUUUGAAUCUAGUUGGGAAGAUUCUAAAGGUAAUGCAUCUAAUAUGUGACUAUAAAUGAGUG